CGGUCUCGAUCUCCUGAUCUCAUGAUCCAGCCAUCUCGGCCUCCCAAAGUGCUGGCAUCACAGGCGUGAGCCACCGCGCCCGGCCAUGUCUUGGUUCUGGAUGUUCCUGGUGGGUGGGGGCUUCUGCCUUCGUUGUGGGCAGGCUGUGUCCCCCCUCGCUGGGGAGAUGAAGGCAGCCUAGGGUUCGACAGCACACAGGGACCAUCAGAUGGGUCCCUCCUGGUGUCUCUGUGGGAGGCGGGAGGAGAUGGGUUACCUGAGGACACACGCAGGGGCCUAGGUUCUAGCACAGCCAUGUGUCCUUGGUCCUGCUGCUUAACCUCCCCGUGCCACAGCUUUCUCAUCUGUGAAAUGGGGCAAUAGAGCUGCCAGUGACCAAGUGAGUUCUGCACAUAAAAAGCUUCCAGCAGACUCCUGGAGACAGUAACACAUUAGUGCCCGUAUGUGUGAUCUUGUGAUGGGGUGAAGACACUGGGGCCUCAGCCCAGAAGCUUCCACCUGCUCUCAGGCCUUGUGCUGAAGCGGUUUGCCUGGAGAGAGUGGAAGUGGCUGCCUGCUCCCCACCAACCGGCCCCUGAAUCCCACGCUCCCCUCCCCCCGCCUGCCUAAGCUCAGCAUUCGCCACCACCUCCAGCCCCGGCAGCCUUUUCUCCUUUUCUUUUCUCGUUUUAUCUCACCAGCAGAGCAUCUUGCAGUCGGUCAUUCCAUUUCAUUUCUGGUCUUCGGAGAGUGACAUUUACAUAUUAAUAUUUUCUAAGGGAGCCCCGUGCACGGAGCCAGUGUCCGCCUCAUGGCCUCACAUGCUGUGCGGGAGAUAAAGCAGGCUCCGCCGUGAAGAACGACAAGCGGAGCCGCGUGGUCGCGAAAGGCCUUGCGUGUGCCCCGUCAGUGUGUGGCGCCUGGCAGGGCUGAUGGAGCGCCCCUCUCCCCUCCAAGGUUUAUCUCUGCUCACAGAGGAUGUGUGCUUUGUCAGGGGCUCUGCCUCCCCGUCGCUUCCUGCUGCCGGCCCCAAGCCGGGCACCAGGGACACGGCUCCUGGCCCGAGAUGCCCUGACAGGCGCGUCGGCUGGAACUGGGCACAGCCGGCCAGCGCCAGCCAGGCUAUCACUGCCCUGCAGAGGCUGCUGCCACGGCCCCGCCAUCCCCGGCCACCCAGACAUCUGUGCCUGCAGGCCCAGAUCCAGUGACGCCUUGGUGGGGGGCUUUGGGUGUGCCCCCCGGGGUCAGUUCUCUCUGGGUGUGAGGGCCCAAGAGAGAAUGAAGGGGGUCUCUGGGUGAUGAGUGUGCCCACCAUGGAUGGGGCAGAUUGUGGAAGGAGAUAUGGAAUGGAGCCACAGG
rnacentral:lncRNA from 1 species